rnacentral:rRNA from 1 species
AUUGAACGCUGGCGGCAGGCCUAACACAUGCAAGUCUAGCGAGCGGCGGACGGGUGAGUAAGGUCUGGGAAACUGCCUGAUGGGGGGGGAUAACUCCUGGAAACGGUAGCUAAUACCGCAUACCAUCAGAUGUUCCCAGAUGGGAUUAGCUGGUAGGUGGGGUAACGGCUAACCUAGGCGACGAUCCCUAGCUGGUCUGAGAGGAUGACCAGCCACACUGGAACUGAGACACGGUCCAGACUCCUACGGAAGGAAGCGGUGGGGAAUAUUGCACAAUGGGCGCAGGCGUGAUGCAGCCAUGUCGCGUGUGUGAAGAAGGCCUUCGGGUUGUAAAGCACUUUCAGCGGUGAGGCGUUACCCGCAGAAGAAGCACCGGCUAACUCCGUGCCAGCCGCCGCGGUAAUAC